UAGCCGUGUUUUGACAACUUGGAAACUUGAUUCAAUUAUUUAUAACACAGCUGAAAAUUUAAAAUGGACUCCACACAUUUAAAUGCAGUUUCAGGCCAAUUUUCUAGGUACAAUUACCACAGACAGGUGAGCUACAGCAUAAAUUCCAAACAUGGCAGAAAUGGAAAUUACCUAUAAAUAUAAAUGAGUUUAGAUAUUGAUGAGCCUGAUGCUAUUUCCCGGGCACUCCACUGGUUCCCCUCACCUUAAGGAACUCUCAAGUCCUGCUCUUCCACUGCAAGCACAGCUGGUCCUUAAAUCUACAGGCCUCUGGCUACAGUCCGAAUUUUGAACACAGUUCUGUCACCGUGUGCAGCAGCAGCCAUGUGCAAAGUUCUAGAUCAAGGAACAAAGGUAGCACAUGUUCCUGACAGUGUGGAAACAUAAAUGCGAAUUAAAUAGAAAUUAUCCCUUCUGAAUUCAUUAAUCUAAGGCCCGUUAUAUAAUAAUCAAGGUUUUUAUUAAUAAAUCUUAUAUGAUGUAUCAUAUGUUGAUAGAAUAGCCAAACCAUGAAUUCUUUUUGUUCCUUUCAUUUCUAAAUAGGUUGUUCCUGGAGCCUGAAUUAAUAAAAAGAACACAGCACACAUUUUUCAGGCGAUGAGGGUUUCACAUGGUGAUAAUGUGAAUACAUUCAGUUUUUAUUUGAUUCUCAUAGGUCAAGUUUUACUGUUCGGUAAGAGUUGUAAAUUAGAUUAAAACCCUGAUGCAUAAGUUGUAAACAAACUUAAUUUAAGAGCAAGUUUGAAAAGCACAAGAGCUAAUAACACCACUGAGGCAUAUAGACAAGUCUCUUAUGGGCAUAUGCAGCUCCCUGAAGCGCAUGGAUCAAGCUACCGCCUCAGAGCACACCAGCACCAGGGGCGCAUGCGCUAAAGGAAGAGCUCCCCUCCCCACCCCCCAUGCUUCACGAUCCAUGUUGACUUCAGUCUGUGCCAUUCUGGGCAUCAUAGUUCUCCUUCAGAUUAUUAGCAGUUCCACCUCUUGGCACGUACUACUUUUGCUCUAAGUUGGAGUGAGAGUACUGGUUUAUAAGAUUACUGGAUUUGUACAAUAUUUAAGAUUCAAUAAAUUCUAAGUGAAAAAACAUACCAAAACACAAGCAUGUUUUUUUUUCCUAAAAUAAGAUAAUUUUGUUGUGCCAACUUUAUGACAGCUAUUUCGGCAGCAUUUUCACAUACAUCCUGAGUGACCUGAAGCAUGCAUUUGGGAUGUUUUAGGGGACACAGAUGGCUGAGAAAGAAACACAAAUGGGGUUACAAAGCAUGACAUCGCUGGCUACCCCAUAAGAAAAAUCACAGAGCCUGGCUUAAUAAACCACUAUGAAGCUGAGUAUAGUUGAUCAUCUCUCUGCAUUCAUAUUUCUCUGAUAAUAUUAAAAUUUAAGCCAAAGAAUUUGAAUUAAUAAAAAAUAUUUUUUACAGAUAUUGAAAAAGGUAUGUCUUUCAAGGCACAUAGUCAGUCCUCAGGAAGGUUCUCUGCGACCCUUUAAUACAGUUCCUCUUUUGGUGGUGACCCCUAACAGCAAAAAGUAUUUUGAUUGCUACUUCAUAACUGUAAUUUUGCUGCUAUGAAUCAUAAUGAAAAUAUCUGUAUUUUCCAAUAGUCUUAGGUGACCCUUGACUUGGGUGGUUGUUAGACCACCCAAAGGGGUCAUGACCCACAGGUUAAGAACUGCUGUUAUAAACUAUAAAUGUCAACAAUUUAAUAAAAAGUCCUUGGUCCAUGUGGCCUUUUUGAAUAAAUUCUUUAAGCAUGUGAAAUUACUUAAAAUGCAUCCAUCAUGAUAAUGGAAUAUUUUCACCAUUCAAUAAACAAAAUCUUGUAUUUGCACCUCUCUGUAUCUACAGGGAUUGGUUCUAGAUUCUCCUAUGGAUAUAGGUUCCAAAUCCAAUGAUUCUCAAGCGUCUCCUGUAAAAUGACAGUCUAUACAGAAAUGGAAGCUUGUCCCCCUCUAUACUUCAAUCUCCAGAUUCUUGUAAUAUAAAUGUCAAUGCUGUAUUAAAAAAUAAUUAUAAGGGAAAACAUAAAUGCAUGCUGAGUGCAAACA
rnacentral:lncRNA from 1 species